rnacentral:rRNA from 1 species
UGGGGGAUAUUGCGCAAUGGGGGCAACCCUGACGCAGCAACGCCGCGUGAAGGAUGAAGGUUUUCGGAUUGUAAACUUCUUUUAUUAAGGACGAAAAAUGACGGUACUUAAUGAAUAAGCUCCGGCUAACUACGUGCCAGCAGCCGCGGUAAUACGUAGGGAGCAAGCGUUGUCCGGAUUUACUGGGUGUAAAGGGUGCGUAGGCGGCUUUGCAAGUCAGAUGUGAAAUCUAUGGGCUCAACCCAUAAACUGCAUUUGAAACUGUAGAGCUUGAGUGAAGUAGAGGCAGGCGGAAUUCCCCGUGUAGCGGUGAAAUGCGUAGAGAUGGGGAGGAACACCAGUGGCGAAGGCGGCCUGCUGGGCUUUAACUGACGCUGAGGCACGAAAGCGUGGGUAGCAAACAGGAUUAGAUACCCUGGUAGUCCACGCUGUAAACGAUGAUUACUAGGUGUGGGGGGUCUGACCCCUUCCGUGCCGGAGUUAACACAAUAAGUAAUCCACCUGGGGAGUACGGCCGCAAGGUUGAAACUCAAAGGAAUUGACGGGGGCCCGCACAAGCAGUGGAGUAUGUGGUUUAAUUCGAAGCAACGCGAAGAACCUUACCAGGUCUUGACAUCCAACUAACGAAGUAGAGAUACAUUAGGUGCCCUUCGGGGAAAGUUGAGACAGGUGGUGCAUGGUUGUCGUCAGCUCGUGCCGUGAGAUGUUGGGUUAAGUCCCGCAACGAGCGCAACCCUUGCUAUUAGUUGCUACGCAAGAGCACUCUAAUAGGACUGCCGUUGACAAAACGGAGGAAGGUGGGGACGACGUCAAAUCAUCAUGCCCCUUAUGACCUGGGCUACACACGUACUACAAUGGAUGUUAACAGAGGGAAGCAAGACAGCGAUGUGGAGCAAACCCCUAAAAACAUUCUCAGUUCAGAUUGCAGGCUGCAACCCGCCUGCAUGAAGAUGGAAUUGCUAGUAAUCGCGGAUCAGCAUGCCGCGGUGAAUACGUUCCC